ACCUGGGUGGCUCAGUCGGUUAAGCACCUGACUUCAGCUCAGGUUACAAUCUCACCGUUUGUGGGUUCGAGCCCCGCAUUCGGGCU
rnacentral:tRNA from 1 species